rnacentral:rRNA from 1 species
AGCAGCCGCCGCGGGAAUACGUAGGUGGCAAGCGUUGUCCGGAAUUAUUGGGCGUAAAGCGAGCGCAGGCGGUUAGAUAAGUCUGAAGUUAAAGGCUGUGGCUUAACCAUAGUACGCUUUGGAAACUGUUUAACUUGAGUGCAAGAGGGGAGAGUGGAAUUCCAUGUGUAGCGGUGAAAUGCGUAGAUAUAUGGAGGAACACCGGUGGCGAAAGCGGCUCUCUGGCUUGUAACUGACGCUGAGGCUCGAAAGCGUGGGGAGCAAACAGGAUUAGAUACCCGUGUAGUCCCUGUCUCUUAUACA